GGCUGGUCCGAUGGCAGUGGGUUAUCAGAGCUUAUUAACAUUAGUGUCACUAAAGUUGGUAUACCACCCCCCACUGCUAAAUUUGACUAGCUUAGA
ensembl:misc_RNA Y_RNA Y RNA